rnacentral:rRNA from 1 species
GACGAACCGUGCGAACGUUAUUCGGAAUCACUGGGCUUAAAGCGCGUGUAGGCGGGACGGCACGUCCGACGCUGAAAUCCCCCGGCUCAACCGGGGAACGGGCGCGGAUACGACCGUCCUGGAGGGGCGUAGGGGGACCUGGAACUUCCGGUGGAGCGGUGAAAUGCGUUGAGAUCGGAAGGAACGCCCGUGGCGAAAGCGAGGUCCUGGACGCUUACUGUCGCUG